rnacentral:tRNA from 1 species
GAGGGUAUAGCUCAGUGCUAGAGCACAUGCUUAGCAUGCACAAGGUUCUGGGUUCAAUCCCCAGUAUCUCCA